AAGGCCUACGGGGGGCAGCAGUGGGGGAUAUUGCACAAUGGGGGAAACCCUGAUGCAGCGACGCCGCGUGGGCGAAGAAGUAUUUCGGUAUGUAAAGCCCUAUCAGCAGGGAAGAAGAAAUGACGGUACCUGAGUAAGAAGCACCGGCUAAAUACGUGCCAGCAGCCGCGGUAAUACAUAGGGGGCAAGCGUUAUCCGGAAUUAUUGGGUGUAAAGGGUGCGUAGACGGAAGAACAAGUUGGUUGUGAAAUCCCUCGGCUCAACUGAGGAACUGCAACCAAACCUAUUCUCCUUGAGUGUCGGAG
rnacentral:rRNA from 1 species